ensembl:lncRNA
GGGCAAGACUAAGAACCCAGAUCCACCUCCUGCCUUGUUCCCUCCAACCCUUCUGUUUCCCACUUCAGUAUGAAUGCCAAAAGCGGCGAGCGCAUGUCUCUUCACAAAAUGACACAGUCUUUGGACCCGAGGCAUCGCUCGGGGGCAAAGUCUCUAAGGGAAAAGGUUUUUUUUUUUUUUUGUGUCAAACAGGAUCAUAUGUGGAGAUCCUAUUGAUCUUUACAUAGGAAACUGUUGUCCUUACGGAAUGUGUCCCCUGCAGAUCCAGAUCAAUACAUUAUGUGAGACAAGAGAGCGAUGGAUCAGUUUGAAUUUGCUCUGAAAAUGAUGAAAGCUCAAUCUGUGAAGGAUUAUCAGCAUUUGGGUUGAAAUGACUUAACAAAGUGUAAGUCAACUGUACUCAGAUGUGGUGUAACAUUUCUUCCGUAACUUUCUUCUUCUUCAUUUGGAGUCAUUUCUGGUUACCGAGGGUUAGGGUUAGGUGUGAGGGUUAGGUGUUAGGGUUAGGGGUUAGUGUUAGGUGUGAGGGUUAGGUGUUAGGGUUAGGUGUUAGGGUUAGGGGUUAGGGUUAGGUGUUAGGGUUAGGGGUUAAUGUUAGGGUUAGGUGUCAGGGUUAGGGGUUAGGGUUAGGGGGCCAACCAAUGCUUCGCAUUCAUUAACACCGCUUUUAACACGUUAAAUAGUACUGACAGCAAUUACAACUCAGUCCUCACAUUUGCAGCUGAAGUGGUAUCAUGUAAUCAGACCCUCUCCCAAGGAGGCGUGGACGUUUUUUCAGAUUUCUCAUUAUCUGAAAGUCAUUCGACCAGCUGACAAACGUCCUCUAGAUCUCCCAUCUACUCAAUCAUCAUUUCUUAGAGUGACUCAGAUACCCGAAGAGGCUGGCCAGUGAGCUGCGUUCGAACACAGAGCGGCAAACCGAAUCAGUCUCAUCUCACUGCUUCUCAUGCGAAGGAAAUAUAACGGACCACGACACCAUCGAGCAAGAGGCUGCAGAGAGGACUUUCACUUCAGCCAACGUCAAUUUCUCCAGGCGGACCAGCUCUGUCACAAGAAGGAUCCGCAAGCUGCACAGCUCAUAUGAAGCAGACACAUCUAGAAUACAAUUAAUCAGUCCUAAUACGAUAAUGAUAUGACGUACGAUGAUCUAGUACCCUGAGCGUUAACAUAAAACAACCACUAAACUGUAAUUUGGGAGGCGCUCCUCACUCAGCCUGCAGUAUGUGGUUUGUCACAAGCCGGGAAAAAGCUCUUUGUGCAGAGCGGCAUCCACGGUGUGCAGGCCGAACCAGAUACAAACUGGGCCAUCGAAGAUAAAUAAAUAUCUAAUAAAUCAAAUGAUGUAAUGAAACUAAUUCCAUUUGUUUCAGCAUCGCUCUAUAGUCAUGUCAGAUAGUAAUCCUAACAUAGAGACAAUUCCACCGUAAUCAGCCCAUUAUAAUCCCAUCCAGACCUUCCACAGUCUGCCACCAACAAGCAUUCAUUUUUAGCCCAGGCUGUUCAUCUAGCCUCAUUUUUCCUCCACACAGCCCGGCCCCCGGUCCCAGGGUAGUCUAUCACACUUAAAGCUUACACUCUUCACAGGCACUUAUAAACAUUUAAAGCAUUUGACUAACCGCCAGGCAAAAUUGACUUUGGGAUGAAAGACCUGGGGGCUUUUAAAAAAUGAAAAGGGAAACGCUGCAUCGGGACACAGAGGCCCUGGUUUAACGGAAAAAUAGCAGUUUUAUUCAGCGGGGGGUUUUCUCGUUUUAAUGAUCGUGGGAUGGAUGAGAGGAACGGGGGGGGGGGGGGCAGGGAUGCUGGGCUAUGACAGAAGGUGCUUGUGCCGCUGUGUCAUAUUAUGCAGACCGGGAGAGAGGAAACCCAACACCUCCUCCGCUCUGUCUUUCCACCCCACGGCACUGAGAGAAAGCUGGACGAGCACCGGCCUCGCUGGUGAAUGAAGCCUUUACAUCACUGGCCCACGCACACUCAAACACACACACACACACACACACACACACACACACACACACACACACACACAGACAGAGACAGACCGUAAGCAGCGUGACUAAUAGAGUACUAACGUCCUUUGUUUUGCCUCAGUUAUACCUGAGUCACAUCUGGCUCCCAGGGGAAGGAGCCCACCAGGUUAUUGAAAUAUUCAGACGUUAGAUGUUGGUUCAGGUGGAUCAAUGACUCCAGUCGAUAACUCUCUCCUCAACAGGGAUUAAAGGACAGGGGUGUGUAAUGCCAGCACACUACUAGAUUAAGUUGAAAACACCACUAUUGUACUUGAUAUUGAUUUUCUUUCUCAUAUUGCACGCAGUGAUUUCCCCACAAGUAAAGGUUUAUGUUGACACAUAUUUGACUCAGUCUGUGUUUGAUGGCUCAAAGCAUUAUGUGGCUGGUUGUAAUGCAACCGAUUCGGUUUCAAGUGUGUUCCUUAUCAUACCUGAGGAUACAAAUCAAGAAGCUCCUUGAAGGAAACAUCGGUUACACAAACUUGUCCUGAGAAUCAUUUUCACCUUGCUCGAUAAUAAUAUUCUACUCCAAUUUAACCAGAUAAUAAGCUGCAGUUAGUAUAUAAUAAUAAAGAACACAAAAAGGUGUGAAAAACUAAUUUUUACCAUAAUGGGGCCUUUGUAAAUUCUGUUAUGUAUCAAAUAAUGAUAAAAACGCCUUUUUAGAAUAAACUAAGAUCUUAUAAAAGGAUAAAGUGAUGAGUAAAUUACAUUCUGGACAGUAAACUCCCCACAAGCCAGUAACUCUGUAAGUCUAUUCACGUUCUUUAAGGAGAAUCCUAACUGUGGCUUUAAGAAAAUACCAAUACAUUGGUUUCACUUCAAAAUACCUGAGUUGAAUUAAACUCAUUAUAAAAAGACAAUAUGCUCAUCAAUGUUCCCUUAAAACAAAAUCAUUAUAAUCACAAACUUCAGAAGACUACACUGACUUCCCACACAGAACACGGCAAAGUACUUUUCCUCUCAUUUAUCAUGUUCCUUUAGUAAUAAAUAUACCAUGCAUAAUGCAGCGAAUGCACUUUUGAUGUCUUUUAGUGGCCUGUUACCAGCUAAUCUCUCAUUCUGUACUCCUCGAAUGGAUGUACAGAAGGUCAAUCGAGCUUAUGAUUGUGUGAUAAACUAUUAAUUAGACAGAACUCCUCCUCAUUGUCUUCCUGUUUACUUAUUAAGCUCCUUAAUUUCAUCUCAUGACAGGCAACGUGGCCUCGGAUGCUAUUAGGCUAUCACACGUUUCCAUGUGUUGUUGUUUUUUUGUUUUUUUUCCUUCCAACAAGCCGUUCAGCUUUGGUUUAUUGGAGCAAUAUUAAAGUAAGUGCUUAUUUUUAGAAAACAGCACAACAGCCUUGAUGAGGUUUCUUAAACCAGAGCAUUCAGCGUUCCACAUUUUAAUCACCACCCAUCCUUGUCAAAUAGGAUAUACUGCAGCCCCCCCUCUGCACUGUAUCCGUCUCCACCUCGGCCUCCCACUCAGAAUGUCCAAAGAUGCGCCGCUGCCUUCAUUAGGAUGCAGGAUGCAGAGAGAAGCCCUCAUCUAUUCAGAAUUGCUCCUACAGGAGCGGGGACCUCCUCCCCCGUUCAGAGGGGGCCAAGAGCUGCAGAUUAAAAGUCGCUGUGUUCAUCACCCUGCUAAAGCGCUCCCAUUAACAGACAUCACAUUACCUACCACACAUGUUCAAAUCCCUAACUGGGGGCUUCACACCACUUGUCACGACACGCCGGGAUAAAAGUCUUUUUAAUGUUAACAUCUUCACAUUCACAACGCCAGCUCUCAACUUCAAAUAAAUCCAGUUAUUAACUGUCCGUUCUGUGGCACUGCAUAUUCGGGACGCUGAUUCGGUGAACAAUUAAUCCGUAUUUAAGGUUGUUAAGUGUGUUGAUGAAUUCAAUAUGUGCGCUGAGGGGGGAGCCAAAGCCAGCAGCUAAUCAAAAUGUCUCUCAGCCAUUUCUCGCGCAUUGUAAACUGCACAGUUUUUGGGCUGCUCUAAAAAACCAUUUUCCAGUCUCUCUGAGCCGAGCGUUUGUUGCCCCCAGCUCUUUCGGAGAGGAAGACUCAGUUCAGCGUUUAUGUGUUUCAGGUUGCCCUCACUUUUUUUUUUUCCGCUCAGGAGAAACCACGAUUGUGUGUGUGUGUGUGUGUGUGUGUGUGAGAUUUCUUUUGUGAGGUCAAACUGUAGCGUGUCAACUUUGACUCCCCGGGAUUGUAUGUGUUGUGCUUGGUCACAUUUCUGGGACGGGGUCAGUUUAAGCCGCGUUCAGCGGGCCCUCGUGCAAUAAUAACUGGAGGAAAAGAUUACAUUUCGAAUUCAAAGAUAAAGGUUUGGUAAAUUAAUUAAAUGAACUUGAACGUGAAAUCUUCAAUGUCAUCAUUAGAUUCGUUAUAUAUCAUGUUGUGCAUCUCAAGCUCGUGGGCGGGAACACCACAGUAUGUGAGCAUGCAUGAGGGAGAGGGAGGGGGAGCCGAAUCUGACUGGCUAGUUGAAUCACAUCUUUUCUGGGUUGUCUCAUUUCAGUUUGAAUGAGCAGGAACUCCGCAUGCAUGUUAUGUCAUGAGCAAACACUCAAGCUCUCCACUCCCCCUGAACUAUGUGACAGUGCAGAACCAUGUUUUUGCGGUCAUGUAUAGGAGUAUAUAAUCAUUAGAAAUAUUCGUUUUACGGCUCAAGGUCAAGGUGACAUCGUCAGUGUCGGAUUGGACCAACGGACCUAUGGCCUUCUAUAAUGCUAUGCUAUGCUAAUACCGGGAUUCUGAAUUCGAAGCCUCAAAGUGGCGAUCAUAGAACCAGCGACUACAUUGACUCCCUUUUUACAGUCUAUGGAGGCAAGUGAGCUGUGCUAUAAAAUAUGUAAAGGGUAAAGAGUGUAACACACAUCUGUGUAUCUCCAGUGUAAAAAGAACACGGCAGUUCAGAGAUCACAGUUUGAAUGUGAUUCAGUAACACAAUGUUUUGACAUAGCGUCUUGUUGCUGUACACUGUGCCACAAGGUACCGUUUGAGAUAUGCAGAAGACAAAGGAGUGCAACAUCAGCGGUGCACUGCAGCACGUCUUACCCUGUAACAGGAUCAGCGAUUAAUUAGGUGAUCAGACGUGGAAAAGAGGGGAUAUAAACAUUUAGACAGUGAUGUCUAAAU